UAACCAUGUAGCUUUAGAAACCAUGGAAUUUCUCAUGCAUAGAUACAUCCCAUAUAGGGUUGUUCUUGUUUGCAGUCAAGCAGUAACAAUUAUCCCAGCACAUUUUUGAAUAUUUAAAAGAAAAUAGUAUUUAGACUAAAAGCCAUUAUUUAUAGUAGCUUUUAAAAGUGAAGUGUUAAGGAAGUUGAAAUUAUGUUGUUUUCAUCCAGGUGAUUGAAAGUUUGGAAAGCUCAUGUCAGUGAAAACAAAUGAGUGUGCCAAAGACAGACAUACUGAGCAUAAGAGAUGUUCUACCCAGAUUUGUCAAUCAGCCAGUCAAAAUCUUGGAAAAAAGACUUGGAAAAAAUUUAUCAUUCACCAAGUGCUCAGCUUCUAACCCUAUCUCUUUCUCAGGCCUGUCCUGCACACUCCUGGUCUUCUCCUUGUAUGUGAACAUAGGCUGUCUUUUCGUGCAUACUUCCCCUGCCUGCCUCAUUUCCCAGGUGCACAUAUGCCCCUGAAAGCAGAGGCAAAGCUUUUAAUAGAGUCUGCAUAGGCCAUUGUGUUAUCUGUUAUUCCAAGUGGAUAACUAAUUUAUUUUUUUAAAAGUGGAUAGUUCCAGACAUAAUGACAUAACAAUUAACAAUAAAUGGCAAAUUCUCUGAAAUCAAAUAACAAUUUGAAACUUUCAUGCAGGAGAAUGAGAGAGGGAGAAUCUGAACUUCCUAUUACCUUUUUCUUCAGGAUUGUCCCCUCAAUGCUGGAACUGCAUUUCCUGGAAGAAUUGAAGAAUGUGAACUUGCUGAUAUCUGAUACACUGGUGUCCUUGCCAAACCAGGCGCUUGCCAAACUUGAAAUGAGUAUCAAAAGAAUUCUGGAUGAGAGUGUGAAAUGAGAACAUGGGCUGUUAAAAUGUACGACAAGGAAAAACCUGGGAGAAGAGUGUGGAAGAUGACUAUUCCUGGCCUGACCAGAAGGUUUACACCAAUGUAUCACUCAUCUCUGUUCUACUGGUGUGGAAAAUCUGAAGUCAUAAAACCGUGUGUGACUAGAGGACACGAGGAUAACACAGCAAGUAAGAAAGGCUGACACGAAGACAGCAGUAUCUGCUCUGUACUAGCUGUGUGUGGCUGAAUGGAGCUGCCUGGAAGGGUGGGAGCAGCAGGAGCUGGAGAAGGAUCAUCACAGCAGAACCACUGAUCCGACCUCGCCUUUUCAGAAGCGCUGAAAGAAGAUGACACAUACAGUGUCCCAGCACAACCAGCUGCAGAGCAUAUUACAAUGUGAAAAACUGCACCAGCGUUUUUCAAUAAGCACCAUUAACUGACUUUGGUAAAGCAUCUAUUGGCACGACCAGCGGGAUCAAAGAACAUGCUGAACUCCUGUCUUGUACAAUAAGAAAGCACAGCUGCCAAUCACCUUGCAACUAGAGUCUUUCUGUUUCAAAGCCUGGUAGGAAUAGCAUGAGAAGGGCUAGAGGAGACAACUGUGCCAGUCCAUUGUCUUUGCUAAUGAUCUUCAGAGC